UGAGUAAUAUAUAGGUAAUAUGCCUCUUACUAAGGGAUAAUUGAUGGAAACGUCUUGUAAUACCUUAUAUACCUUUUGAACAUAAGUUCGUAAAGGGAAAGAUUUAUCGGUAAGAGAUUAGCCUGUACGGUAUCAGAUAGUUGGUGGGGUAAUGGCCUACCAAGUCUAUGACACCUAACUGGUUUGAGAGGAUGAUCAGUCACACUGGAACUGAGACACGGUCCAGACUCC
rnacentral:rRNA from 1 species